rnacentral:tRNA from 1 species
GCCCGCGUGGUGGAAUGGUAGACACAAGAGACUUAAAAUCUCCUGCCUUCGGGCGUGCCGGUUCGAGUCCGGCCGUGGGCACCA